CAGAUGGAGUACCAACCAGAAUGUGCCACAGGUGCCAGGAUCCCCAGGAAAAGGUGUGUAAAGAGCUCUAAUGGAGUGGGAAACUUGAGAAAGGCAAACAAUUGAAAUAACGCACUUGCACUUGGGCAUUCACUCCUGGAGCCCUGCUGAUCCCACCAUGGGCUCCAUCCCUGGUUUGCAGUUCUUCUCUUUGAUGACAUUCAGGAAGAGGUCAGCUCGCCAUCCUUCUGCAGCCACUGUCCAUCUGUUUGGUGCAUGUCCUCCCCUGAGCUGCCUGCUUUCCCUGCUGUAAAGGGCCUCUGGGAUCCAGCCCCUUUGCCUGGAAGCAGAUGGACUUUACACCUUGGGCAGAGCCGGCCCCGAUGCGCUCCCAUCCAUCCCGCACCCCGUGGAACCAGGCAGAGAAGACCUGAAGAAGUCCUCACAUUAGCAGAAAACAAGACCACUGGUGAGGAAACAAAUUCAAAUAAG